CAGCAGCCGCGGUAAUACAUAGGUGGCAAGCGUUAUCCGGAAUUAUUGGGCGUAAAGCGCGCGUAGGCGGUUUCUUAAGUCUGAUGUGAAAGCCCACGGCUCAACCGUGGAGGGUCAUUGGAAACUGGGAAACUUGAGUGCAGAAGAGGAAAGUGGAAUUCCAUGUGUAGCGGUGAAAUGCGCAGAGAUAUGGAGGAACACCAGUGGCGAAGGCGACUUUCUGGUCUGUAACUGACGCUGAUGUGCGAAAGCGUGGGGAUCAAACAGGAUUAGAUACCCCAGUAGUCCCUGUCUCUUAUAC
rnacentral:rRNA from 1 species